rnacentral:rRNA from 1 species
GGCUCCUCGUAGACGCAAAGAUGGGGAGUCGGACCUGCCCAGUGAAUUUUUUUUAACGGCCGCGGUACUCUGACCGUGCAAAGGUAGCAUAAUCAUUUGCCUUAUAAUUGAAGGCUAGUAUGAAUGGUUUGACAAGAGUAUAGCUGUCUCUUUAUGAUUCUAUAGAAUUUUAUAUUUAGGUGAAGAAGCCUAGCUAUGAUUAAAAGACAAGAAGACCCUAUCGAGCUUUAAAAGAACAAAUAGGAUAAUUUAUUUAUAAUAUUAAAAAGUUUUCUAUUAAAUAUUUUAGUUGGGGCGACUUAGGAACAAAGGAAGCUUCCUUUAAACUGAACUAUUAAUAGAUAAAGAUCCAAAAGUUUUGAUUAAAAGAAUUAGCUACCGUAGGGAUAACAGCAUUAUCUUUUUUGAGAGCUCUCAUCGAAAAAAAGGUUUGUGACCUCGAUGUUGGACCAGAAUAUCCCAAAGAUGCAGCAGUCUUUAAAGGUUGGUCUGUUCGACCAUUAAAAUUCUACG